GAUGAAGAACGCAGCGAAAUGCGAUAAGUAAUGUGAAUUGCAGAAUUCAGUGAAUCAUCGAAUCUUUGAACGCACAUUGCGCCCGCCAGAAUUCUGGCGGGCAUGCCUGUUCGAGCGUCAUUUCAACCCUCGGUCUCCCUCCGGGAGAGACCGGCGUUGGGGACCGGCACUUACCCCGCCGGCCCCGAAAUGAAGUGGCGGCCCGUCCGCGGCGACCUCUGCGUAGUAACUCCACUCGCACCGGGACCCGGGCGCGGCCACGCCGUAAAACCCCCAACUUCCGAAUGUUGACCUCGAAUCAGGUUGGAAUACCCGCUGAACUUAAGCAUAUCAAUAAGCGGAGGA
rnacentral:misc_RNA from 1 species